UACAGAGGUCCCAAGCGUUGUUCGGAUUCACUGGGCGUAAAGGGUGCGUAGGUGGUCGGGUAAGUCUGAUGUGAAAUCUCCGAGCUUAACUCGGAAACUGCAUCGGAUACUAUUCGGCUCGAGGGUUGGAGGGGGGACUGGAAUGCUUGGUGUAGCAGUGAAAUGCGUGGAGAUCAAGAGGAACACUCGUGGCGAAAGCGAGCUACUGGACAAUAUCUGACGCUGAGGCUCGAAGGCCAGGGUAGCGAAAGGG
rnacentral:rRNA from 1 species